UACGAAGGGGGCUAGCGUUGCUCGGAAUCACUGGGCGUAAAGCGCACGUAGGCGGCUUGUUAAGUCAGGGGUGAAAUCCUGGAGCUCAACUCCAGAACUGCCUUUGAUACUGGCGAGCUUGAGUCCGGGAGAGGUGAGUGGAACUGCGGGUGUAGAGGUGAAAUUCGUAGAUAUUCGCAAGAGCACCAGUGGCGAAGGCGGCUCACUGGCCCGGUACUGACGCUGAGGUGCGAAAGCGUGGGGAGCAAACAGG
rnacentral:rRNA from 1 species